ACAGGUGUGAGCGGAAGCAACAGAAGGAGUCAUGGCUGCCAAAGUGUUUGAGUCCAUCGGAAAGUUCGGCCUGGCCUUAGCAGUUGCAGGAGGCGUGGUGAACUCUGCUCUAUAUAAUGUGGAUGCCGGACACAGAGCUGUCAUCUUCGACCGAUUCCGUGGCGUGCAGGACAUCGUGGUAGGGGAAGGGACUCACUUCCUCAUCCCCUGGGUACAAAAGCCAAUCAUCUUUGACUGCCGCUCUCGACCACGGAAUGUGCCGGUCAUCACCGGCAGCAAAGACUUGCAGAAUGUCAACAUCACACUGCGUAUCCUCUUCCGGCCGGUGGCCAGCCAGCUUCCUCGUAUCUACACCAGCAUUGGCGAGGACUAUGAUGAGCGGGUGCUGCCAUCUAUCACCACAGAGAUCCUCAAGUCGGUGGUGGCUCGAUUCGAUGCUGGAGAAUUGAUUACCCAGCGAGAGCUGGUCUCCAGGUAGGUGAGCGAUGACCUCACAGAGCGAGCAGCAACAUUUGGGCUCAUCCUGGAUGACGCGUCCCUGACGCAUCUGACCUUUGGGAAGGAGUUCACAGAGGCGGUGGAAGCCAAAUAGGUGGCUCAGCAGGAAGCAGAGAGAGCCAGAUUUGUGGUGGAAAAGGCUGAGCAGCAGAAGAAGGCGGCCAUCAUCUCUGCUGAGGGGGACUCCAAGGCGGCUGAGCUGAUCGCCAACUCACUGGCCACCGCCGGGGAUGGCCUGAUCGAGCUGAGAAAGCUGGAAGCUGCUGAGGACAUUGCUUACCAGCUCUCCUGCUCUCGGAACAUCACCUACCUGCCAGCAGGGCAGUCCGUGCUCCUCCAGCUCCUCCAGUAA